rnacentral:rRNA from 1 species
GAUGAACGCUAGCGACAGGCUUAACACAUGCAAGUCGAGGGGCAUCACGAUUUGUAGUAAUACAAAUUGGUGGCGACCGGCGCACGGGUGAGUAACGCGUAUGCAACUUACCUAUCAGAGGAGAAUAACCCGGCGAAAGUCGGACUAAUACUCCAUAAAACAGGGGUCCCGCAUGGGGAUAUUUGUUAAAGAUUCAUCGCUGAUAGAUAGGCAUGCGUUCCAUUAGCUUGUUGGUGAGGUAACGGCUCACCAAGGCGACGAUGGAUAGGGGUUCUGAGGGGAAGGUCCCCCACACUGGUACUGAGACACGGACCAGACUCCUACGGGAGGCAGCAGUGAGGAAUAUUGGUCAAUGGGCGAGAGCCUGAACCAGCCAAGUCGCGUGAAGGAUGACGGAUCUAUGGUUUGUAAACUUCUUUUAUAGGGGAAUAAAGUUCGGUACGUGUACCGUUUUGUAUGUACCCUUUUGAAUAAGCAUCGGCUAACUCCGUGCCAGCCGCCGCCGUAA